GCUAUAGUCCAUGGGGUCACAAAAAGGCAGACAUGACUGAGUAUGCACACAGGCACACAAAUACAUUAGGGCCUGACCUCACAGCCUGGGUCAAACCAACCAUGGCUCUGAGCAAAACCGGGAGUGGAUGCUCCCAGGGCAUCCCUUCCAAGUGCUACUUCUUCCUCCUCAGGGCUCUUUCCACUCUCACCCCUCCACCCACCCCCACUUCAUCUCAUUGCUCCAGUCUGAAAUCUGAUCCCAGCACACCCCACCUAUAACCAUCUCCCGUCCCUAGAAUCUUCCCACUGUCCUCCCUGUGAUCCCCAGGCGGCUCCCCCUGUCUGCAGUGCUGAUUCUGUGAAACGGACAUUCCCUUCUUCAUUAGAUGCCAUCUCUUUCGGAAGCAUUCCUCAUCUCCCCAGGGAUGGGAUCUCGCUCCUCUCACUCCCCACACCCUAUUCACAUCCCUACUGGAGCCACUGCGACACUCUCUCAAACCCCGGGAGACCUGAAAAGUCACCUCGGCCACGGCUUCUAGUCACAGCUUUCACCCCUCCAGUGGUGGAGAGCUCGCUAGCUCCCCCAGGCCUUUCUGUCUAUCUGGGGCAGCCCCAACUGUUAGAAAGUCCUUCUCUUUCCUACAAGUUGGCCCUAAGCCAUAAAGAACCUGUUGGUCCCCCCUCCCUGGGCUGGCCUUGCCAGAAAUCUGAGGGCCAGAGAUCUGAGGGUAGCAUCUGCGUCCUCCCUGGUUUUUUCUUCUCAAGCUGACCAAGUUCCCUCCACUUCAGAUCCUUCCCAGAGGCUUUAAGUUGAAACCCCUGCCCCAGAUUUGUUCCACUUAGUCUGUCUUCUCCAGCAGUACAAGAUAGAAACUGAAUCUGUUGCUGACUGUGGUCUGAGCAGGGCCAAAGAGCUGACCCACCAUCUCCCUCUUUCUAUAAAGUCGACCUCUGUUAAUGCAGCCAGAGAUCACAGAAAUCAUCACACAGUUCUUCCUGCCAAGGAAGAAGUCCUUCCCUCCCUGUUUACUUGGUUGGCUUUUGGGCUCAAAUGAAGGAUCUUCAUUUGUUCUGAUCCUUGUCCCAGUCUGUGAGAAUCUGAUGGUUUAUGCCUCUGUUGCCCCCUCCUACUUUAUCCCCAUCUAUGCCAAGGCACUGAUUGAUUACGGCCCCAGCUCCCUUGGGAAUCGGCCAACCCUCUCAAAGUGGUAGUCACAGCUCCGGAAAGACGGCUGGACUAGAGUCGGGGACUGGAGAAGCUGUGGUGUGGAGGCGGCAGCUGGAGUCGUGAGGCAGUUACAAGCUCCGAGGGUGAAGCGGCUGGCUCCAGGCUCCAUUAUGCAGACAAAUGAGCACAGAGAGGUUAAGGCACCCACCUGCCUGUUCUUGCUCCGAACAGUCCCUUCAGUCGGCAGACGGAGCACUAGGCUUCACCACUCAGGCCUGCGUGCUGCCCCGGAGAGGAUCGGCCCCCCGUGAGAGAUGAGAAGGGCUGGAGAAGGCUGGAGAAGGCUGGAGGGCUGGGCCUGGCCUGCAGAGCGGAGGACGCAUGCCAGCUCCUUUCCCAAGUGUGACUUUUAUAAAUAAGCU